AUAAAAAAUAAAAAUAAAGAAAAUUUAAAAAAGCCCCGGCUUUCCUCACAUAAAAAGCGGCCUCCGUGAGUGUCUCUUUUAGUGUCUUGCAUGUAGCAGUUGGUAGCGGAACUGAGUUUUCGCGCUGCUUGAGGGCCGCCUCUCUCUCCUCACACUUUGGAACAGCCGGAAGUCCUGCCUGGCCGGACCACGGCUUGGCCUUCCUUCAGCGGCGUCAGGUGCCGCGCGUCGUGGCUGUGGGGACGCGGGCGCCUCUUGCUGGUCCAGGCCAACGCGGCCAGGGGAGGUUGGAAGCGGAGGCCGCGACACCAGGCCAGUGCCACGCGUGACGGACCCUGCCCGGCCCAGUGACCAGUGAGCGCCGGCGCCGUCCGUGUCCCCGUCUGUUCUCAGCGUCGUCUGCGGGACACACAGACACAGACAGAAGGGAAAUCGGAGGCAGCCCAGCGAGGCGACGCAGGAAUGCAGCCCUCAGGCUGGGGAACCCGGGCCCAGAGCUGCUGGGAGCAGACAGGAGGGCCACAGCGGGUUGUGUCGUGCCAGACAAGCGAGUGUAGACGACAAGAGAACAAAGCACCACAGAGAGGACAGCUCUGAAGAUGGUGAUAAAAAUCGUAUUUGAGAAGGAGAGUCCACAAUAGAGAUGGAGUAAAACUGAUACUCCAAAAAACAAAAACAAAACAAAAACCCCUGUAGAAUAAACUGCAAAUGAGCCGUGGAACAGAACUCCCACGCCAGGAAAGUAUGGCAGGAGAGGGCCGGAGGUGAGUACAGAUUCUAAUUGAAAAGAAAAAAGCAGCAUCCGCCAUGGGGGAGCCAGACGUGCCGAGCACAGGUGAAUCCCGUAUCACUCACCUGCUACCACACUUGCUUGGAUGAACCCCAGCUCUGAUGUGACAUGAAGUCUGCUUGAGGGAAUGCUCCUAACUGAAAGAUUUUGGGAAGCUCAAAAGAAGGUCUUUGCACCUCCAUGGUGGUGCUUAGAUAACUAACUGGCCCUUCUUCCAAAGGAGGAGUCUAUGAAAAUUUGGAGACACAGGAACAUUUGGAAACCCAGAAAAAUGCUUCCUUAGCCACAAACGUGGUUUUUAGAGGAGGCGUCCCAUGCUAGUGUCUGAUGAAGCAGGAGUGCCUGACCAGGACAACAGGGCCUCAGGACUUGUCACGGAGGACAGUCAUGUGUGCAUAUUCACGAGCUGCCUCCUAUCUGGAUUUUUUUAAAACUAGCUGCGGGUUUGGAGGAAGGAUUUGAUGUGCAUCAUGCCACUGGAUAACAGCUACUACUUCAAACGCAGGGGAAGGGAGAAGUUCCUCCAGCCGGCAGGGCAGGUACCAUGCCUGUGACAAGGCAUGAGGUCUCUGGCCGGGACUUACAGUGCAGGGGCCAAGAAGGCAAAAGGACAUUCUCCACAGUUGCCGUCAGAAGCAGAAGGGUGGGGCUGUGGAUGACAGGCAUGUGGCCUCAGAAAUGAAGAGAGCCACCCACAAGCUUAAAAAGCAGGUCACGUUGCAGGUUGGCUGUCUAAAGAGAAAAGCUCAAAGCACUUUCUCUCUCAAUUUCAAAUGACUCCCCAAAGACAGACAGGGCUGGUAACAUUCAUCUUUGCUGCCUACACCAAGCACCAACUAUUUUCUUUUCAGUAGGACACCAUUCCAGGAACUUUUAUGAUUGAAAGGGAGAGGGCUAAAUAAUUCACAAAGCACAGAAGGGCUGCCGGUUUUUCUUCUGGGCUUUCUGGAAAAGGGAGCUCUGGAUGGCAUUGAGGUUGGCUCUGAGAAUAGACAAUUCAGAGAGACUCAGAAAAAGACUGUAGAGUGAAUGUGUUAUAGGUGUAUGUUGUGUGUGUGGUAUGUGUUGUGUGCUGUGUGCAUUUGUACAUUGUGUG